CAGAGUAUACCCUAACCGUCCUCUCAACCCUGUGACCAUACGUAACCGUUUGCUCGGGGAAGACGGCCCGUAACAGCGGUGCUCGCGGCCCGCCGCGGAGACCAACUAACUCUGUUUCUAUACAUGUCAUAUCGAGCUAACUAAGCAACAUGAAUUGCCA
rnacentral:misc_RNA from 1 species